rnacentral:rRNA from 1 species
CCUACGGGUGGCAGCAGUGGGGAAUAUUGCACAAUGGGGGAAACCCUGAUGCAGCGACGCCGCGUGAGUGAAGAAGUAUCUCGGUGUGUAAAGCUCUAUCAGCAGGGGAGAAAAUGACGGUACCUUACUAAGAAGCCCCUGCCAACUACGUGCCAGCAGCCGCGGUAAUACGGAGGGGGCAAGCGUUAUCCGGGUUUACUGGGUGUAAAGGGAGCGUAGGCGGCAGUGCAAGUCCGGAGUGAAAUCCCAGGGCUUAACCCCGGUACUGCUUUGGAAACUGUGGAGCUUGAGUGCGGGAGGGGUAGGCGGAAUGCCUGGUGUAGCGGUGAAAUGCGUAGAUAUUAGGCGGAACACCGGUGGCGAAGGCGGCAUACUGGACCGUAACUGACGUUGAGGCUCGAAAGCGUGGGGAGCAAACAGGAUUAGAUACCCGAGUAGUC